rnacentral:sRNA from 1 species
GAGGAAAAUCGAUGCUGCAAAGCAGAAGAGGUCAGUACAUGAUGUGAUGGUCACCCUCUUGCUCUUCUCAAAGAUGCCAACCAGUAGAACCAUGACGAUGACAUGCCCCAGCUUAGUCUUGAGAUCAUUCACUGACUGGAUUUCGAGCCACUCAGGCCGUUCCUGCAGAUAGAAACAGAGCCAAAGAGGUUAGAGCCAUAGGAUGAUGACUUUGCAAUGUCCAUGUUACUGAUGAACAGCUCGUAUAGCCCUGUCCCGAAGACAAACAUGACCAUUAGUUAGUUAGUUACCAAUGGCUUCAACUAGCAUCAGGGUGACCUUGCCGCCACCGUGCAGGUAGUACUCGAUGAAGGCAUCCAUCACAUAGACGCAGCCCU